CAAUAGCGUAUAUUAAAGUUGUUGCAGUUAAAAAGCUCGUAGUUGAAUUUUUGCUUGCCGCCGAUGUCGGAACUUCCGUACGUUCGGCGGCGUGCAUCCUUGGGUGGAACCUGUGUGGCAUUAGGUUGUCGUGCAGGGGAUGCUCAUCGUUUACUGUGAAAAAAUUAGAGUGUUCAAAGCAGGCUUACGCCGUUGAAUAUAUUAGCAUGGAAUAAUAAGAUAGGACCUUGGUACUAUUUUGUUGGUUUGCGCACCGAGGUAAUGAUUAACAGGGACAGUUGGGGGUAUUCGUAUUCCAUUGUCAGAGGUGAAAUUCUUGGAUUUCUGGAAGACGAACUACUGCGAAAGCAUUUACCAAGGAUGUUUUUAUUAA
rnacentral:rRNA from 1 species